GACGAACGCUGGCGGCGUGCUUAACACAUGCAAGUCGAACGGAAAGGCCCUGCUUUUGUGGGGUGCUCGAGUGGCGAACGGGUGAGUAACACGUGAGUAACCUGCCCUUGACUUUGGGAUAACUUCAGGAAACUGGGGCUAAUACCGGAUAGGAGCUCCUGCUGCAUGGUGGGGGUUGGAAAGUUUCGGCGGUUGGGGAUGGACUCGCGGCUUAUCAGCUUGUUGGUGGGGUAGUGGCUUACCAAGGCUUUGACGGGUAGCCGGCCUGAGAGGGUGACCGGUCACAUUGGGACUGAGAUACGGCCCAGACUCCUACGGGAGGCAGCAGUGGGGAAUAUUGCACAAUGGGCGGAAGCCGGAUGCAGCAACGCCGCGUGCGGGAUGACGGCCUUCGGGUUGUAAACCGCUUUCGCCUGUGACGAAGCGUGAGUGACGGUAAUGGUAAAGAAGCACCGGCUAACUACGUG
rnacentral:rRNA from 1 species